UACCCCGCUGAAACUUAAGCAUAUCAAUAAGUGGCGGAAAAGGAACUAACUAAGGAUUCGCCUAGUAACUGCGAGUGAAGCGGGAAAAGCUCAAAUUUAAAAUCUGGCGGUCUUUGGCGCGUCCGAGUUGUAGUCUGGAGAAGUGCUUUCCGCGCUGGACCGUGUAUAAGUCUCUUGGAACAGAGCGUCAUAGAGGGUGAGAAUCCCGUCUUUGACACGGACUACCAGUGHUUUGUGAUGCGCUCUCGAAGAGUCGAGUUGUUUGGGAAUGCAGCUCAARAUGGGUGGUGAAUUCCAUCUAAAGCUAAAUAUUGGCGAGAGACCGAUAGCGAACAAGUACCGUGAGGGAAAGAUGAAAAGCACUUUGGAAAGAGAGUUAAACAGUACGUGAAAUUGCUGAAAGGGAAACGCUUGAAGUCAGUCGCGUCGGCCAGAACUCAGCCUUGCUUUUGCUUGGUGCACUUUCUGGUUGACGGGUCAGCAUCGAUUUUGACCGUCGGAAAAGGGCUGGAGUAAUGUGGCACCUCCGGGUGUGUUAUAGACUCUGGUCGCAUACGGCGGUUGGGAUCGAGGAACGCAGCGCGCCGCAAGGCAGGGGUUCGCCCACUUUCGCGCUUAGGAUGCUGGCAUAAUGGCUUUAAACGACCCGUCUUGAAACACGGACCAAGGAGUCUAACAUACCUGCGAGUGUUUGGGUGGAAAACCCGAGCGCGUAAUGAAAGUGAAAGUUGGGACGUCUGUCGUGGAGGGCAUCGUCGCCCGGUCCUGACGUUCUCUGACGGAUCCGCGGUAGAGCAUGUAUGUUGGGACCCGAAAGAUGGUGAACUAUGCCUGAAUAGGGUGAAGCCAGAGGAAACUCUGGUGGAGGCUCGUAGCGAUUCUGACGUGCAAAUCGAUCGUCAAAUUUGGGUAUAGGGGCGAAAGACUAAUCGAACCCCUUUAGUAGCUGGUUCCUGCCGAAGUUUCCCCUCAGGAA
rnacentral:rRNA from 1 species